AGAGUUUGAUCCUGGCUCAGAUUGAACGCUGGCGGCAUGCUUUACACAUGCAAGUCGGACGGCAGCACAGAGAAGCUUGCUUCUCGGGUGGCGAGUGGCGAACGGGUGAGUAACAUAUCGGAACGUACCGAGUAGUGGGGGAUAACUGAUCGAAAGAUCAGCUAAUACCGCAUACGUCUUGAGAGAGAAAGCAGGGGACCUUUGGGCCUUGCGCUAUUCGAGCGGCCGAUAUCUGAUUAGCUAGUUGGUGGGGUAAAGGCCUACCAAGGCGACGAUCAGUAGCGGGUCUGAGAGGAUGAUCCGCCACACUGGGACUGAGACACGGCCCAGACUCCUACGGGAGGCAGCAGUGGGGAAUUUUGGACAAUGGGCGCAAGCCUGAUCCAGCCAUGCCGCGUGUCUGAAGAAGGCCUUCGGGUUGUAAAGGACUUUUGUCAGGGAAGAAAAGGCUGUUGCUAAUACCAGCGGCUGAUGACGGUACCUGAAGAAUAAGCACCGGCUAACUACGUGCCAGCAGCCGCGGUAAUACGUAGGGUGCGAGCGUUAAUCGGAAUUACUGGGCGUAAAGCGGGCGCAGACGGUUACUUAAGCAGGAUGUGAAAUCCCCGGGCUCAACCCGGGAACUGCGUUCUGAACUGGGUGACUCGAGUGUGUCAGAGGGAGGUAGAAUUCCACGUGUAGCAGUGAAAUGCGUAGAGAUGUGGAGGAAUACCGAUGGCGAAGGCAGCCUCCUGGGACAACACUGACGUUCAUGCCCGAAAGCGUGGGUAGCAAACAGGAUUAGAUACCCUGGUAGUCCACGCCCUAACGAUGUCAAUUAGCUGUUGGGCAACUUGAUUGCUUAGUAGCGUAGCUAACGCGUGAAAUUGACCGCCUGGGGAGUACGGUCGCAAGAUUAAAACUCAAAGGAAUUGACGGGGACCCGCACAAGCGGUGGAUGAUGUGGAUUAAUUCGAUGCAACGCGAAGAACCUUACCUGGUCUUGACAUGUACGGAAUCCUCCAGAGACGGAGGAGUGCCUUCGGGAGCCGUAACACAGGUGCUGCAUGGCUGUCGUCAGCUCGUGUCGUGAGAUGUUGGGUUAAGUCCCGCAACGAGCGCAACCCUUGUCAUUAGUUGCCAUCAUUCAGUUGGGCACUCUAAUGAGACUGCCGGUGACAAGCCGGAGGAAGGUGGGGAUGACGUCAAGUCCUCAUGGCCCUUAUGACCAGGGCUUCACACGUCAUACAAUGGUCGGUACAGAGGGUAGCCAAGCCGCGAGGCGGAGCCAAUCUCACAAAACCGAUCGUAGUCCGGAUUGCACUCUGCAACUCGAGUGCAUGAAGUCGGAAUCGCUAGUAAUCGCAGGUCAGCAUACUGCGGUGAAUACGUUCCCGGGUCUUGUACACACCGCCCGUCACACCAUGGGAGUGGGGGAUACCAGAAGUAGGUAGGGUAACCGCAAGGGGUCCGCUUACCACGGUAUGCUUCAUGACUGGGGUGAAGUCGUAACAAGGUAGCCGUAGGGGAACCUGCGGCUGGAUCACCU
rnacentral:rRNA from 1 species